CAGUGUAGAGAAUUAGUUUAUAAAUAAAUGUUUAAUUUAGUUAUAUAGGGUAAGUACAGGUUAAAAUUGUGCCAGCAGCCGCGGUUAGACUGGAAGUACUAGUGGGAAAAUUUAGGUUAAAUAGUUAAGAUUAAGUUUUUAAGUGAUUUCGGUUUGAAAAUUGAGGGUGAAAUCUUAUUUUAAAAUAGCGAAGUUGUGAAAAACUGGGUUUGAGGCUAUGAAAGCUUGGGGAUAAAACAGGAUUAGAUACCCUGCUAUACUUAGCUGAAAAUUUUUAUACCUGAUUAGUAAACAGUUAUGUUCUCGAAAAUUAAAGAAUUUGGCGGCAUUUCAGUCUAGUUAGAGGAACCUGUCCUAUAAACGAUAAACCACGUAAAAUUUUACUUUCUCUUGUUUAUUCAGUUAGUAUACCGUCAUUAUUAGAUAAGCUUUACAAGGAUUUAUCUUAAUAGGCUCUCCUAGUAUAUUAGAUCAGGGUGCUGCCGAUGGGGAAGAAGAGAUGGGUUACAAUAACAUUAAGUUAUAACGAAUUGUGAAAUGAAAUUUUCAAUUGAAGGCGGAUUUAAUAGUAAUUAGGUUGUAGCAAGGCCUAGUGAUAAUAGUUCUGAAGUGUGUACAAAUCGCCCGUCGCUCUCACUGCCAAUGUGAGAUAAGUCGUAACAAGGUAGGUGUGUCGGAAGGCGCACCUAGAA
rnacentral:rRNA from 1 species